CAUUCUGUUACUUACCUGAAUCAGAUUCCGACCGAAUGCGUUUGGCGGGAGCUGGUGGUCCACAAGCGCGUGACAAGGUGGGAUGCUGUGGCUGUCAAUGCGCGGGUGAAGAUAAUUUCGAUAACCAAUCACAGGACAGGAAACAUGGUAUCACAGACAGCACUGAGCAGUCACCGAUUUAAAGCGAUAAGGACCCCAUCCAAGGUACAUCAGGCACAAGAGGUUAUCAUCAGUGGAUUCUUGAAUGAGACCAAAACGUUUGGAUCACAUCCUAGCAAAGUGUUUUCACUCUCAAAAGCUUAUUGGUGUUCACCCAACCAACUGCCUCCAAACAUUUUUAACUGCUAUUGAGUCUCUACAUGUGUUAACAGAGAAAACCUCCAGUUCUCCAGCGACUACGUCUAAGAUGUUCACCUCAUAAGCGGCUCCCUCUGGUCCCUCAUCAGUCGGAGUGUGACUUCACAAGCCUGUCUGAACAGGCCCUCUGUGCCCAUGGGUCCCAUCGCAUGAACCAUGUUCUGAGUAAGCCGAAAAGGGACCACCUCGGGAACAUCAAAUGUCUCCCCCUUCAGCACCAAAAACAUUUGUUCUAAUCUAUGUUCCAAAUAUAUACAAAAUGAUAUGCAUGAACUAAAUUAAAA